rnacentral:rRNA from 1 species
CCUACGGGUGGCAGCAGUGAGGAAUAUUGGUCAAUGGGCGAGAGCCUGAACCAGCCAAGUCGCGUGAAGGAUGACGGCCCUACGGGUUGUAAACUUCUUUUGUCAGGGAGCAAUUGGGUCCACGCGUGGGCUUAGCGAGAGUACCUGAAGAAAAAGCAUCGGCUAACUCCGUGCCAGCAGCCGCGGUAAUACGGAGGAUGCGAGCGUUAUCCGGAUUUAUUGGGUUUAAAGGGUGCGUAGGCGGAAUAUCAAGUCAGCGGUAAAAAUUCGGGGCUCAACCCCGUCGUGCCGUUGAAACUGAUGUUCUUGAGUGGGCGAGAAGUAUGCGGAAUUCCUAGUGUAGCGGUGAAAUGCGUAGAUAUUAGGAAGAACACCAGUGGCGAAGGCGGCUUUCUGGACUGAAACUGACGCUGAGGCUCGAAGGUGCGGGUAUCAAACAGGAUUAGAUACCCGGGUAGUC